AAGUGUCUUGACCGGAAGGGUUUCCUUCCGGUCGAUGAGGUAGAUGUACCUCAUCAAUCGGAGGGGUUUCCUUCCGGUUGAUGAGGUACAUGUGCCUCGUUGACCGGAAGGAAACCCUUCCGAUCAGCGAGGUACAUCUACCUCGUUGACCGGAAGAGUUCCUUCCGGUCAGGGAGGUA
rnacentral:miRNA from 1 species